CAGUCGCCGCGGUAAUACGAAGGGGGCUAGCGUUGCUCGGAAUGACUGGGCGUAAAGGGCGCGUAGGCGGUUUGUACAGUCAGAUGUGAAAUUCCUGGGCUCAACCUGGGGACUGCAUUUGAUACGUGCGAACUUGAGUGGAGAAGAGGGUCGUGGAAUUUCCAGUGUAGAGGUGAAAUUCGUAGAUAUUCGCAGGAACACCAGUGGCGAAGGCGGCUUACUGGUCCACAACUGACGCUGAGGUGCGAAAGCGUGGGGAGCAAACAGGAUUAGAUACCCCAGUAGUCCCUGUCUCUUAUAC
rnacentral:rRNA from 1 species